UACGUAGGGGGCAAGCGUUGUCCGGAUUUACUGGGCGUAAAGGGCGUGUAGGCGGGAAAUUAAGUCAGGUGUGAAAGUCCAUGGCUCAACUGUGGGAGUGCAUCUGAAACUGAUUGUCUUGAGUACUGGAGAGGUAAGCGGAAUUCCAAGUGUAGAGGUGAAAUGCGUAGAGAUUUGGAGGAACACCAGUGGCGAAGGCGGCUUUCUGGACAGUAACUGACGCUGAGGCGCGAAAGCGUGGGGAGCAAACAGG
rnacentral:rRNA from 1 species